UACGAAGGGGGCUAGCGUUGUUCGGAAUCACUGGGCGUAAAGGGCGCGUAGGCGGCCUGGCAAGUCGGGGGUGAAAGCCUGUGGCUCAACCACAGAAUGGCCUUCGAUACUGCCGGGCUUGAGUCCGGAAGAGGUGAGUGGAACUCCGAGUGUAGAGGUGAAAUUCGUAGAUAUUCGGAAGAACACCAGUGGCGAAGGCGGCUCACUGGUCCGGUACUGACGCUGAGGUGCGAAAGCGUGGGGAGCAAACAGG
rnacentral:rRNA from 1 species